GGGACCUUUCUGGGUGACAGAGCCUGGAGUUUUUCCACUUGUGUCCCCACGGUGGGGAUGUCUCCUGCUGCUCUGUGCUCCAGCAGGAACGUGAUGUCCGGCUGACCUUGCUUUUGGGGAUAAAUACCUGCAGAAAGGAGGAAGAGCUGGUGAAUCCCUGACUGGCCCCAAACCAGGUGACCUGGGAAGAGCAGAGGGAGAAGAUUGAGGGCCAUGGUUAUCCUUCAUCUUUUGGGGACACAGCAAUGACACCAGGUAACAACCUUGGGCUGUUGAUGGGGUGCAGAUCCCCACGCCUGGGAUG
rnacentral:lncRNA from 12 species